GGGUUGUGAGGUUAAGCGACUAAGCGUACACGGUGGAUGCCCUGGCAGUCAGAGGCGAUGAAGGGCGUGCUAAUCUGCGAUAAGCGCCGGUAAGGUGAUAUGAACCGUUAUAACCGGCGAUACCCGAAUGGGGAAACCCAGUGUGACUCGUCACACUAUCAUUAACUGAAUCCAUAGGUUAAUGAGGCGAACCGGGGGAACUGAAACAUCUAAGUACCCCGAGGAAAAGAAAUCAACCGAGAUUCCCCCAGUAGCGGCGAGCGAACGGGGAGGAGCCCAGAGCCUGAAUCAGCAUGUGUGUUAGUGGAAGCGUCUGGAAAGGCGCGCGAUACAGGGUGACAGCCCCGUACACAAAAGCGCAUGUGCUGUGAGCUCGAUGAGUAGGGCGGGACACGUGGUAUCCUGUCUGAAUAUGGGGGGACCAUCCUCCAAGGCUAAAUACUCCUGACUGACCGAUAGUGAACCAGUACCGUGAGGGAAAGGCGAAAAGAACCCCGGCGAGGGGAGUGAAAAAGAACCUGAAACCGUGUACGUACAAGCAGUGGGAGCCCCACCACCAAAGCAUUUGCUGUACCGCGUUGACGGAGCGAAGCGACGUCAAACCGAUAAAACAGCAGUGUAAAGUGAGCCGCAGGGCGCUUUGCGCGACAGCGCAAAGGCAGGCGGUUUCGCGUAGCGAAAGCGAAUGCUUUGGGGUGGGGUGACUGCGUACCUUUUGUAUAAUGGGUCAGCGACUUAUAUUCUGUAGCAAGGUUAACCGAAUAGGGGAGCCGGAGGGAAACCGAGUCUUAAUUGGGCGUUAAGUUGCAGGGUAUAGACCCGAAACCCGGUGAUCUAGCCAUGGGCAGGUUGAAGGUUGGGUAACACUAACUGGAGGACCGAACCGACUAAUGUUGAAAAAUUAGCGGAUGACCUGUGGCUGGGGGUGAAAGGCCAAUCAAACCGGGAGAUAGCUGGUUCUCCCCGAAAGCUAUUUAGGUAGCGCCUCGUGAAUUCAUCUCCGGGGGUAGAGCACUGUUUCGGCUAGGGGGCCAUCCCGGCUUACCAACCCGAUGCAAACUGCGAAUACCGGAGAAUGUUAUCACGGGAGACACACGGCGGGUGCUAACGUCCGUCGUGAAGAGGGAAACAACCCAGACCGCCAGCUAAGGUCCCAAAGUCAUGGUUAAGUGGGAAACGAUGUGGGAAGGCCCAGACAGCCAGGAUGUUGGCUUAGAAGCAGCCAUCAUUUAAAGAAAGCGUAAUAGCUCACUGGUCGAGUCGGCCUGCGCGGAAGAUGUAACGGGGCUAAACCAUGCACCGAAGCUGCGGCAGCGACGCUUAUGCGUUGUUGGGUAGGGGAGCGUUCUGUAAGCCUGCGAAGGUGGCCUGUGAGGGUUGCUGGAGGUAUCAGAAGUGCGAAUGCUGACAUAAGUAACGAUAAAGCGGGUGAAAAGCCCGCUCGCCGGAAGACCAAGGGUUCCUGUCCAACGUUAAUCGGGGCAGGGUGAGUCGACCCCUAAGGCGAGGCCGAAAGGCGUAGUCGAUGGGAAACGGGUUAAUAUUCCCGUACUUGGUGUUACUGCGAAGGGGGGACGGAGAAGGCUAUGUUGGCCGGGCGACGGUUGUCCCGGUUUAAGCGUGUAGGUGUGUGUUCCAGGUAAAUCCGGUUCACUUUAACACUGAGGCGUGACGACGAGGCACUACGGUGCUGAAGCAACAAAUGCCCUGCUUCCAGGAAAAGCCUCUAAGCAUCAGGUAACAUCAAAUCGUACCCCAAACCGACACAGGUGGUCAGGUAGAGAAUACCAAGGCGCUUGAGAGAACUCGGGUGAAGGAACUAGGCAAAAUGGUGCCGUAACUUCGGGAGAAGGCACGCUGACACGUAGGUGAAGUGAUUUACUCAUGGAGCUGAAGUCAGUCGAAGAUACCAGCUGGCUGCAACUGUUUAUUAAAAACACAGCACUGUGCAAACACGAAAGUGGACGUAUACGGUGUGACGCCUGCCCGGUGCCGGAAGGUUAAUUGAUGGGGUCAGCGCAAGCGAAGCUCCUGAUCGAAGCCCCGGUAAACGGCGGCCGUAACUAUAACGGUCCUAAGGUAGCGAAAUUCCUUGUCGGGUAAGUUCCGACCUGCACGAAUGGCGUAAUGAUGGCCAGGCUGUCUCCACCCGAGACUCAGUGAAAUUGAACUCGCUGUGAAGAUGCAGUGUACCCGCGGCAAGACGGAAAGACCCCGUGAACCUUUACUAUAGCUUGACACUGAACAUUGAGCCUUGAUGUGUAGGAUAGGUGGGAGGCUUUGAAGUGUGGACGCCAGUCUGCAUGGAGCCGACCUUGAAAUACCACCCUUUAAUGUUUGAUGUUCUAACGUGGACCCGUUACCCGGGUUGCGGACAGUGUCUGGUGGGUAGUUUGACUGGGGCGGUCUCCUCCUAAAGAGUAACGGAGGAGCACGAAGGUUGGCUAAUCCUGGUCGGACAUCAGGAGGUUAGUGCAAUGGCAUAAGCCAGCUUGACUGCGAGCGUGACGGCGCGAGCAGGUGCGAAAGCAGGUCAUAGUGAUCCGGUGGUUCUGAAUGGAAGGGCCAUCGCUCAACGGAUAAAAGGUACUCCGGGGAUAACAGGCUGAUACCGCCCAAGAGUUCAUAUCGACGGCGGUGUUUGGCACCUCGAUGUCGGCUCAUCACAUCCUGGGGCUGAAGUAGGUCCCAAGGGUAUGGCUGUUCGCCAUUUAAAGUGGUACGCGAGCUGGGUUUAGAACGUCGUGAGACAGUUCGGUCCCUAUCUGCCGUGGGCGCUGGAGAACUGAGGGGGGCUGCUCCUAGUACGAGAGGACCGGAGUGGACGCAUCACUGGUGUUCGGGUUGUCAUGCCAAUGGCACUGCCCGGUAGCUAAAUGCGGAAGAGAUAAGUGCUGAAAGCAUCUAAGCACGAAACUUGCCCCGAG
rnacentral:rRNA from 1 species